rnacentral:lncRNA from 1 species
ACAAGCUUACGUUUUCUCUUGUUAUUGAGAAGCUGGAGAGUGAGAGAGACCUGUAAACAUUGGACAUCUCUUCCACAAGACACCAAGAGGGGGCGCCCUUGUCCCCUCCUCGCAGGGCAGCUGGAGAUCCCCGUGCCGUGAGGAGGCGCCGCACAGACGUGAUGACAUCCGCCCGGUAUUCCUGGACCGUGAGCGCCGUCAUCUCACAAAACAGAGGACAGCAGAGCCAACGCGCUAUACUAUAUCCGAGCACAGCGGGGGGGGGUGUGUCCCGGCGCAGCCCCGCCCCUCCUCUCACGCACGCGCCCCAACAAUGGGACCCCGUUGCCAAGGCGACCGCUGUCCAGCUCCGCCGCAGACGCGAGCAGGACGGCAUCUUCGCAGAUUGCUCCGCAGGGGCAGAGCAGAGGAACCGGACAUGCGACUCCGUAAGAAUCUCCGCCGCCGGGUCGCCGUCUGACCGCCCGGCACCGGGGCGGCGGGGGGCCGGCUGGGACCCCGACUCUGCCACCCGGCGGGCAGGGGGGUCAGUGAAGGUAACCGCCCCUCUCUCCCUCCCUCCCUCUCUCAGCUGGGGUGUCGCUGCCCAGCACGCCGGUGUCCGCCGGGAUGGCCCGAGCGGCGGCCCCCGCCCGGAGGAGGUACCUGGUCACCCCGCUGGCGCUGCCCGCCGUGAGCCCGGCCGCCGUCCCGCUGUCCGUGAGCCAGGUGGGUCCAGGACGGGCCGGGUGGUUCCGGGGUUUGUCUGCCGGUUUGUUCCCGAGAUCCGAGUCUCUUCCGGCUUGAACGGGGGACGUACCAAGUCCCGCUCUGAAUGACCAGUAAGCAGAACCAGAGGACUGGGGGGGGGGCAGGUCUUUACACAUAGGGCGGUGGGAGCGUGGAACAACCUUCCCCACCAUGCAGUAUUGAUAAACCAUGAUACCCUGGUGUCUUUCAAGACGCAGCAGGACGAGAUCUUGAGGCCAGUGAGCUGUUGACUCGGGGUGCAGGGGUGCAGGGGCUGACUGCCCACUGGCUCCUCCGACUCUCCGGCCCUCCCUCACGCCCGAUGAGGCAGCGAGCUGCUCUGGAAUGCAGCCCAACCUGCAGGGCAGCGAGGCAGGGAGGCGGGGAGACAGGGAGGCAGGGAGAGGGAGGCAGCGAGGCAGGGAGGUGGCGAGGAGAAGCCUGGAGUGUGUUUUCAAUGACCUUAAUGACUGGAGUCAGGUGACAGUUCGCCUGCCGGUAAUGAGGUCCUGUGCUCCCCCCCCCCGGACAGUGCCCCACCCGCAUCAACCCCCUGCACCCCCCCUCGGGCAGGAGGCGCACCGUCAGCCUGGAGACGCUGGCAGCGCACCACCACAACCAGCAGAGGGUGCUGGUGAUGCAGCAGAAAGAGUACUUCAGGUGAGAGGGGGUGACAGGGGCGACAGGGGUGCAGCUGUUCCCACAGACCGAGACCCAGCGCCGGAUCUCCCAUGAGGCACUGCCGGCACCGUGCCAGGGGCCCACGCAGGAGGGAAACACCAGUGACCAGUGAAAACCGAGCUGAAACAACAGGCUUGCGAUCGCCUCUCGGCGCUCCGGAUCAAUAGUCCUGCGCUGUCUGGCGGCUGGUCUAGAAGCUGGAAGAGUGGAGGUGCUGGUCGCUCGACUCGCCCCAUCGAUCACGGGGUUUAGCGUGAGACCAGUUUGAAGUGCGUCGUGUCAGGCGUUGGCGUCUGAUCGGCGUUUCUCCCUCUUUCUGCACGUGUCGGAGUGAGAGUGACCCGGCCUGCGGACACCACACUCCGGCCCUGUCAAGACCUUGGAGUCCUGAACCAAACCCGAAGUUGUUUUUAUGGGGUGUGGGGGGGGGUGGGAGAUGCAGUGAGUCAUGGGGGCGCAGCACCCAGUGCUGGAAUCGCAGGUGUGACUGUCCGCAGCCACUCUGACGCCCCCCCGUCUCCGCAGGUUUCACCAGGCUUGGCAGAGGCCGUUCUACGGCUGCCGCGCAGACAAGGAGGAGUACAGGUACAGCGUGAGCACUCGCGCCUCGAGCUGGGGCGGACUCUGGUCGGCCGGUCUGUGUCCUGACUGCGAUUGGCUGCCUGAUCAACUUCCUGACUGGGACUGGGUGCUUGAUCAGUGAUCUGAUUGUGAUUGGCUGCCUGAUUACUGCCCUGGCUCUAAUUGUCUCCCUUAUCAGUGACCUGGCUGUGAUUGGCUGCUCGAUCAGUGAUCCGAUUGUGAUUGGCUGCCUGAUCACUGACCUGGCUGUUAUUGGCUGCCCGAUCAGUGACCAGGCUGUAAUUGGCUGCUCGAUCAGUGAUCCGAUUGUGAUUGGCUGCUUGAUCAGUGAUCCAAUUGUGAUUGGCUGGCUGAUCACUGACCUGGCUGUGAUUGGCUGCAUGAUCAGUGAUCCGAUUGUGAUUGGCUGCCCGAUUAGUGAUCCGAUUGUGAUUGGCUGCCUGCUCACUGGCCUGGCUGUGAUUGGCUGCCCGAUCAGUGAUUCAAUUGUGAUUGGCAUUAACCAGCUAGUAAAGACAGAGAAAAUCUCACAUUUUGAGAAAAAAAAACACAUUUCUUUUUCCCGAGUGAUUGGACUGUCAAUGUUUUUGACUCCUGUGUGCGAGACGGUUUAGGCUGACACAGGAGUCGCAGGUCUGAGUGGCUGGUGGAUCUCCAGUGUGCUCUGAUUGGCUGGUUUGCCUUCCAAGCCCGGCUCUCACACAGGCUCUCUGGGCGGCGAUUGGCUGCUCUCCCCAGGCAGGAAGUGCGCGAGCUGCUGCAGAGGCAGAUGCUGGAGAAGUGGGAGAGGCAGAGGCAGCUGCUGGCCAGCCAGACGCGCGAGCUCGAGGCGCUGCGCGAGGCGGACCGCCUGGCCCUGACCCGCGAGACGCAGGAGAACCAGAACCGAGCCCGAGCACUGAGCCACUACAGGGAUGAGAACAAGAGGGUAACCCCGAGACGCUACUGUGUUCACAAGCGCACCAUCGAGAAAACAAAAUUAAAACAGUCAAAUGAAAUCUAUUAGAGGCAGGAGCCCUUGGUAAUGACCGUUGUAUUAAUAGAUCACAUAGUAUAGAUCACAUAGUGAAUUCCAGGACUGUCAGUGUGUUGACGGUGGACCGGACCGGACUGGCAGACUGUGGAGAGUGCGCUGUUAUCAUAUUCUCCAUGUGAUACUGAGCCAGUGUGGCCAGUGACCUGCUCCCCCUCUCUCCCCAGAUGAUGGAGCAGGGCUGGAGGGAGCGUGCUCUGUCCCGUUCUCUGGAGGUGCUGAGAGACAGAGAGCUGCUGCAGUACAACCCCAUCAACUGGAGUGGCACGCUCAAAUAGACACUGGAGCAACACAGGCCAGUCCAAUAGAUACCGGAGCAACACAGGCCAGUCCAACAGAUACCGGAGCAACACAGGCCAGUCCAACAGACACCAGAGCAACACAGCCCAGUCCAGUAGAUACCGGAGCAACACAGCCCAGUCCAACAGAUACCGGAGCAACACAGCCCAGUCCAACAGACAUCAGGGCAACACAGGCCAGUCCAGUAGAUACAGGAGCAACACAGGCCAGUCCAAUAGAUUUGUUUCCAUAACUUUUUAUUUCUUUAUUUGGUUUGUAUGUAUUAAGACCUGUUUAAAUAAAAAUUAAAAAAACAUCAGAAACUCCAAAGGACGUUUUAAAUAAAUAUUUGUAAAGAAGUGCAAAUCCUGAUUUUCCAGACGCCUCCAAUAGACCACGGUGUGGGUUCCCAGCAGUGGAGGGCAGCCGACAGCAGGGGAGGGGGGGCUCAGCUCACUCCUGGCCACAGGACGAGCAAGAGACUGGGCAGCAUAGAUCCGUGUCCCCUUGUGGGUGAGCAGCGGGCCACAGGCACUGGGAAGCCGUCAGGAGGCUCAAGGGCUGCCCACCACUGGCCUGGAGAAGCGCAGGUCGUUCGGUCCCGUCAGCGCAGACAGUGUGGUGUGGAAACAUGAGACGUCCACACGGGCGCGAGAGCGCAGCUGGCAGGGACACAGCGACCGCCCUGUCCUCCCCUCAUGGGGACACCCAGGGCACCGGCCCCACAGGGGGCCCUUCUUAACUGACCAGGGAAGAUCAGAACCAGACGAGGAAACAACAGAUAAAAAAAAUGGCAGGAUGUGUUUCUCUCUGCCCCUCCUUCAGUUCGAACCCUGGGCUGUUUUCUUUCUUACUGCCUAGACCGGGCCUGGGUUCUGGUGCCAGAGUGUUU